rnacentral:rRNA from 1 species
ACCCUACGGGGCGCAGCAGUGGGGAAUAUUGCACAAUGGGGGGAACCCUGAUGCAGCGACGCCGCGUGGGCGAUGGAGUAUUUCGGUAUGUAAAGCCCUAUCGGCAGGGAAGAAAAUGACAGUACCUGAGUAAGAAGCCCCGGCUAACUACGUGCCAGCAGCCGCGGUAAUACGUAGGGGGCAAGCGUUAUCCGGAUUUACUGGGUGUAAAGGGAGCGUAGACGGUGCGCCAAGUCUGGAGUGAAAUGCCGCAGCUUAAAUGCGGAACUGCUUUGGAAACUGGCGUACUAGAGUGCGGGGGGGGG